UAUCUUAAUUAGGGGUUUUGUUUGUUUGUUUGUUUUGUUUUUUUGUUUUGUUUUUUUGUUUUUGUUUUUGUUGUUGUUUUUUUUUCAAGACAGGGUUUCUAUGUAUAGCCCUGGCUGUCCUGGAACUCACUCUGUAGACCAGGCUGGCCUCGAACUCAGAAAUCCACCUGCCUCUGCCUCCCAAGUGCUGGGAUUAAGGGUGUGUGCCACCACGCCGGCCUUAAUUAGAGUUUUAAUGCUGUGAACAGACACCAUGACCAAGGCAACUCUCAUAAGGACUACAUUUAAUUAGGGCUGGUUUACAGGUUCAGAGGUUCAGUCUAUUAUCACCAAGGCAGGAGCAUGGCAGCAUCCAGGCAGCCAUGGUGUAGGAGAUGCUGAGAGUUCUCCAUCUUCAUCUGAAGGCUACUAGGAGAAGACUGACUUCCAGGCAGCUAGCAUGAGGAUCUUAAAGCCCAUACCCACAGUGACACACCUACUCCAACAAGGCCACACCUCCAAAUAGUGCCACUCCCUGGACCAAGCAAAUUCAAACCAGGACAAUGUUUGAGCGAUUGUGCACUGUGCCACCUUUUCCCGGAGAGCACGGAAACGAUCUGUUCUCAUGAAGGAAGAAAGGAGAGAGGAUGAGAUAGAAGAGAAAAUGGCUUCCCAUAGGUCUAUGGCCCAGUGAGGAAGGGGCCAUAAACACGUGGAGACUCAGCCUCCUGGUCUGUGUCUGUGUAUUCAUCUAGAUAUGUCACUCAAAAUUUAAUAAUCUCGAUAAAAACUCAUGUACCCCGAGACAGUCUCUCCGCACCUUAUGUCUUCUGUUAGAGUUUUUGUUUUGCUUUAUAUAGUUAUUUUCUUUUUUAAAACUUGCUUGAGUGUCUGCAUAUGUGUAUCUGCACCAUGUGUGUUCAUGCUGUAUUUUUUGUUUGUUUGUUUAAUUAUUAACUUACAAAAGCAUUAGGUUUCGUUGCUAUUUUUUUGAUGAAAUUUGUUUUUGUUGUUCCUUUAACAUAUUUUCCAUAUUUAAAAUCUUACUACUUUAUCAUUGUGUGUGCAUAUGGACACACUUGAUGUUUGUAUGCAUGUAUGCAGGUGAGCCUGCCACAGGACAUACUGCGUGAUUGAGGACAACUUCAGGAGUCAGUUCUCUCCUUCCACCUUGGAGUUUGGGGGUGGAACUUGGGUGGUCAGGCUUUUGCGAAACUUCUUUUACCAACGGAGUCAUUUUCCCGGCCAAUACCGGUUAGCUCUGAACUCGCUAAGUAGCCAAGGCUGGACCUGAACCCCUGCUGGGAUCACAGGAGUGCACCACCACGCUAGGCUUGAUAGUGCUGUAUUCUCAAGCACUGUUCGCUGGAGUCACGAGGUUUAGGAACAGCAUCUCUUGCUCACCGUUCUGAAUUUUAUCUUAGGGUGAAGCUGGGGGUGGGGACAUGCAGCUGCUUCAGUGGCCAAAACAGGGACUUGGUCUGUCUCUCAUUCUCUCUCCUUGCUUAGUAAUUUCAUAUUUAUGCCUGGAAAUCCUAGCAACAUGAUAGACUCCAGAUUGCCCAGGGCCUGGUACCAUAUGUGUUGCCAUAACGAGGCAUUUCGAAUUUCUUUGCUGUGACUAUGGCUCUCGAUGUGUCACCUAAUCCUCUCUGACUCCCUUUGGAUUUGUCUCUCUAGGAACUGGUGGUCAUGGGUGCCCCAGGCUCGUUUUAUUGGGCUGGGACACUCAAGGUGCUGAACCUCACGGACAACACAUAUUUUAAGUUGAACGAUGAAGCGAUUAUGAACAGACGGUAUACUUAUCUGGGUGAGUAGCUGGGGAGUCCGUCUAUCGGGAAUAAGGUGAACCAUGAGGGUUCUCCAUUACCAAGAGCUCAUGGAGUAUCACUCUAUUAAUAGAGAGAAGCAGUAGUUGGCCUUUACACCCAUCAGUCUCAUUAGUCACACUUUUAUUAGCGUUCCUUAGCAUCUAGUUGCACACAUGGGUAGUAGAGAGGGGAACAAAAGAGGAAGGCGGUCCAAACUGGGUGGUUUUCUCAAAAUCUGAUGGGUGAGCUUCCAGGGAACAAGUGUUUCCUCGCCUUGGUUUGGCAGUCAGUCACGUACAGAUGGUCAGAUAUGCAAUAUGCAAUAAGCCUGACUGAACCCUGACUUUCCCUGGACAUCAUUUUAAGUGAUGCGUCUGCUUCCUGGUCAUGAGUAGAGACAGUAGAACUGGGAACUUCCAUGGCAGCGAGCAACCUGGUGCUGAGCCUUACUCAAAGGCUCUGAGACUUUUCUCUCUCUUUUUUAGUUUUUUUUUUUUUUUUAACUAUCUAGAAAGAAGGUCAGCAUGGUUUAACUUAGCAGCCACCAGGCCUGAGUGGUCCUGGGCUGGGUGCAGUGGCGUGUCUCCACAUUCUUGCUACUCCAGAGCACACUGUCUCUGCAGGAAGUGUAUGCAAUCAAGGACAUUUGAGUCAUUCUGCACCGCAUAGUGAGAUGCCAUGUUGGAAAAAAAGGGGGGAGAGAAGGAAGAAAGGCAGAAGGAAGAAAGG
rnacentral:lncRNA from 1 species